UGUAGAUGUAGAUGUAAGUUUAUGGACAAAAGGAUGUGGACGCCUUGGAUUCAGGAGUUUCUUUUCUAACAGGGUCUGGGAUACAAAACAGUAAGGACGAAUGUCAGAAUAUAGGUUUAUAUAAUGGGAUAAAUAUUGCUUUGCACUAAAGUAUA